rnacentral:rRNA from 1 species
AACGUAGGUGACGAGCGUUAUCCGGAGUUACUGGGCGUAAAGGGUGUGUAGGCGGUCUGUUAAGUCUGGCGUGAAAGCUCUCGGCUAAACCGGGAGAGGUCGUUGGAUACUGACACACUAGAGGAUGGUAGAGGCGUGUGGAAUUCCGGGUGUAGUGGUGAAAUGCGUAGAGAUCCGGAGGAACACCAGUGGCGAAGGCGACACGCUGGGCCAUACCUGACGCUAAAGCGCGACAGCAUGGGGAGCAAACGGG